rnacentral:rRNA from 1 species
UACGUAGGCAGCAAGCGUUGUUCGGAGUUACUGGGCGUAAAGAGUGCGUAGGCGGUGCUCUAAGUUUGGUGUGAAAUCUCCCGGCUUAACUGGGAGGGUGCGCCGAAAACUGGAGUGCUUGAGUAUGGGAGAGGCAAGCGGAAUUCCUGGUGUAGCGGUGAAAUGCGUAGAUAUCAGGAGGAACACCUGUGGUGUAGACAGCUUGCUGGACCAUCACCGACGCUGAGGCACGAAAGCGUGGGUAGCAAACAGG